UAAAGAGGAUCGUUACUCAAUUCAAGUUAUGACGAUGUUAAACAUCUAAAUUUUAAUUUUUCUAGUAUUACAGCCUACAAGGGUCACAAUCCAACAAUUUCUAGAAAUGUAUCUUUGAACACUGACGAAAAGCAAAUCUGAAUCACAUCACUGGCCACCAUACCAAGCGUCAUAACAGCACCAGCCAAAGAAUUUAUUGCUGGAGAGGAUUGAAAAGGAAAAUCUCCACAGAACUACCGCUGAGCUGAACGAGUCUAACACGGCUGCAAGCUGCAAGUGAGUCAAGAGUUUUGGAGAGGAAAUUUCAACGAAUUAAAAACUUUUCCAUUCUUUAUCAAUAGUUCCUCUACUGUAAUGAAACUGGGAAUAAGUCCUAAUAAAGAAAAAAGCCGAAGACAGAACGGUUAAACAAGAUAUCGAGAGAGAGGGCCCUUUUGCUCCUGAGAGGUUGAACUUUCCAAGUUGAAAACAACAGAAGAUUUGCAAAGGUUUGGAGUCUUGUAGUGCGAAUGAAAACGUAGUUCGAAUUGUCUUAUCUUUAGUGAUGGAUUAAGUUUAUUACCCAAUGAAUUUAAGCGACUAUCUCUUGACUCUUACAACAACUAUCCGCAACAGUUUCUUAAAGCUUACGAAUUGAAGUAAAGCAGAUGACGGAAACUUCGUUUCAUUAUGAUUCAUGUUUUGUUCUGAAUUGAAUUACAGUCUUGUUUACACAAAUGCUCUGCUUAUUAAGCUAGCGACUCGUAACCAAGAAUAACGAUGAAACACGUAUAUACAAUAUUUUUUUGUACUGCGAAAACCCUUGUGGCUUCAGAGUUACCCAAAAUUAAAUACAAAGCUUUCAUUAA